rnacentral:rRNA from 1 species
GAUGAACGCUGGCGGCGUGCUUAACACAUGCAAGUCGAACGGAAAGGCCCUGCGUUUGUGGGGUGCUCGAGUGGCGAACGAGUGAGUAACACGUGAGUAACCUGCCCUUGACUUUGGGAUAACUUCAGGAAACUGGGGCUAAUACAGGAUAGGAGCUCCUGCAGCAUGGUGGGGGUUGGAAAGUUUCGGCGGUUGGGGAUGGACUCGCGGCUUAUCAGCUUGUUGGUGGGGUAGUGGCUUACCAAGGCUUUGACUGGUAGCCGGCCUGAGAGGUGGACCGGCCACAUUGGGACUGAGAGACGCCCCAGUCUCCUACGGGAGGCAGCGGGCGAAAGUAUUGCACAAUGGGCGGAAGUCUGAUGCGGCAACGCCGCGUGCGUGAUGACGUGCUUCUGGUUGUAAACCGCUUUCGCCGGUGACGAAGCGUGAGUGACGGUAAUGGGUAAAGAAGCACCGGCUAACUACGUG